AUCGUUCGAUUAAUAUGAACGAGUCUCUCAUUCAUAUAAAGAAUCAAAAUCGCGAAUGUCCAGUUGUGACAAUCGUCUAACGUUUCUCUGUCCAUUCAGUAACACCUAAUCGUUUCUGCAAUACAGGUAUCAUACAUGUAUUUCAAAAGUGACACAAAACAGUGACACUGAAACAAGUUUUUCAGGGAAAAUAAAAGACUAUUUGGAAGUUUAAAAAAAAUAUUAUCCUUAUCAAACGCAUAAGUUAACAAGAAGUAUAGAAUAUAGAAAGCAAUGAUCUUCUAAUAUUCUUCUAAUACAGAAUUGAAUUAUUUUGAGUUGUGACAUUCUUGAAACAUUCUGUAUGAAAUAUGAACGUUUCGUAGCCAGAAGUAGAAAAUUGUAAGCUUCUGUUGUAAGAGUGUCAAUAUCCUGUGUAUUCAUUUUGGUCCUCUGAUUUUUUUUAUUUGGUAAGUUAUCAACUGACCUUUUAUUGACUCAUUCAGUGGCAAACUUUAAUCUCAGUGCUAUGUCGCAAGUUCAGAAAAAUUUAUCUUUGAUAAUUAUGUUAUGAUUACAGAAUUUAAAUAAUAAAAGAUGUAAGUAAUGAAACGCUUUUUUGUGGUAAAGGUUCUGAACUAUUAAUAAAAAAGAAAAUAAUUUCAUUAAUGACCCAAAAUGAUUAUUGAAUAUAAUUAUUGGAAAAUUCUUUUAGAUAUGGGGGAGACAAAAUUUCCGAAUUUAUCUUGACCUUCUGGGUUUUAUGUUACUUGAUGGUUAAAGUUGAGAUGGAAGCAAUUUAUUAUAUAAAUUUACGGUUUAAAAAAAUCUAAUUAAUCUUUUAAAUCAAAAUUAAAGAUACAAAUAAAAGAGAAUGGUAGAAAUGCAUAUUAAUUUUAAAAACAGGAGGAAUAAAAAGAUCUACAAUCCUGAUACAACAAAAAUGUGAUUUAUCAUCAUGUUAUUCUCUUCUGGUUUUCAUGCACGACCUACUAUUUUGACUAUUUAAUGCAUUAUGUAAACGAGAGAAUAUAAUGAUUUCUAAUUUAUUCUAAGGUUAUCAGACUAUCGUAUGGCAAGUGCAACGAGCUAACGUCAUUGAUGGACAUCCUGUCGUUGUCGCCGCGAAAAAGUUUCAUUGCAUAGACCACAGUGGAAUUUUACUACCGAUAGUUAAUUAAUAAUCAGAUUCAUUGAUCAGUUUCAUCACUUUCAAAGUUAGUUGAAAGUUUCAUGGAAAAUUCAACAUAAAGAAUAGGAUGUAAUAUAAUUUUUCUGGGGGCUGAGCUUGAAGUAUUUAUCAUAACAGGAUAUUUUUAAAAAGGCACAAAGACAACUUCGUUGGUGUCGUUCUCCACGUACCCAGACCUCUUCGUUUUAUCUCUUCCUGGAUCGGCGUCCACUAGAGAUAUACUCGAUCUUACCUCUCUACAAAUGAAAACAUAGUACACAACUUCGUUUCUUCUAAAGAUUUUUAUGCAUUUAUGAGUUCCAGGCAAUCCUGCUGACACUAUGAGAUCUCUGGGCUUGGAAAAGUCACACUCCAAGAUAAAAGCAGCGUCACCAGGAGUAAUUAGCUCAUCGUCGUGCUGAAGAACCAAGGUGUUCCGAUAUUUGUUAUCAACCUGAAACAAAUAUCUUAAACCAGUGAAUUAUUUCUAACUUAUUUUGUAGUAACUUUCCCAAAUUUACAGCAG